ACGGCAGCCACAGUGUCCGACUCCACUUGGAGGGUUUCUGUGAGAGACAAGUUGCUUGAAGCUAAUUUACCCUCUACAUGUAAAGUGUCUUUUCUUGAUCCAAACCAGCCUCAUUGUUUUCAGCUAACUGUAACCAGAUGAGGGGUUACAGGGUGGAAAAUUUCCAUUUGAACUGAGGUUCCCAUGCGUACAUCAUGGCGCCUCCCAAAGUGAAAUGCCUGAGCAGGAUGUGGCACCACAACAUUACAGAGACAGGAGAAGUAUAUCUGAGUUUACUGAGAGAACAUUCAAUUGACUACACUGGCUGGGAUCCCACGAGAACAUCCCAUAAAGGAUAUUGUUUGGGGAUUAAACUCUUUCUUUACUGAUCUUGUGAAUUUUGAUGAUCCACUGAAUAUUGAAGCUGCAGAACAUCACUUGCGGGACAACUAGGACUUCCGGAAUUAAGUGGAAGACUACAUC
rnacentral:lncRNA from 1 species